UUUCUGUGCCCUGGCUGGCAGUGAGCUGGUCCCCUUAGCAGCUGACCUCCUCCUCCAGCCCUGUGGCUGCCUCCUCUCCAACAGGGACCUUCCUGGUGAAAGAAAAGAAACUCGGUAAUUCACUGAACAUCACCCAAGACCGGGUGCAGACCCAUGCCCUGGUGUAUAAAAGACGUAGUACUCCCUUCAUUCCUGUUUCACAGAUCCACAGACUUAAUCUUGGAGAGGCUCCUGCCAAAAGUCACCCAACUGAUUUUCAUCCACUUGGCUCCCCAGGUUGCUGCUCGACCGCUCUCUGACCUGGAUUCACUGAGGACACAUCAGGCCUUUGCCACGAGGUCCGUGGGGUGGCCAGAGCCCAGGGCUGGGUGAGUGUGGGGUGGGUCUGAGGGGGAGGACGUGCAUCCAGGGGCCAGGCCAGCCCCUGCAGGAUUUUCUGAUGUCAAAUCGCCUGUCCUGUGCCUGAGCCCUAUUACCCUAGCAGAAUGAGGACAUGCGCCUCCCUGGGC